rnacentral:tRNA from 1 species
CAAAAAUUCUUCUUAGUUUAUAAAAACAUCUACUUUGGAUGUAGAAAAUACUUUAAUAAAUGUUAUUAAA